AGAGCAGCUCGGACGGCCGCCGCGCCAGGUGCGCGGAGGAAAGUCCGGGCUCCGCAGGGCAGGGUGCCGGAUAACGUCCGGUCGGCGCGAGCCGGAGGAAAGUGCCACAGAAAACAGACAGCCCCCAGACGGGAGCAAUGGUGAAAAGGCGGGGCAAGAGCCCGCCGGAUGCGGUGUGAGCCGUAUGCCUGGCAAACCCCACCCGGAGCAAGAUCGAAUAGGGGGGGAUGAAGCGGCCCGCCGACCCCCGGGUACGAUCGCUCGAGGCGCUCCGCAAGGAGACGUCCAGAUAAAUGGCCGUCGUAUACAGAACCCGGCUUAUGAGCUGCUCGCUAU
rfam:Synergistetes sp. SGP1 draft genome.